GUUUACUACACCGUAUUCUGUGAGUUGCGAACGGGUGAGUAACGCGUAGGUAACCUGCCUGGUAGCGGGGGAUAACUAUUGGAAACGAUAGCUAAUACCGCAUAAGAACAUUUACUGCAUGGUAGAUGUUUAAAAGGUGCAAGAGCAUCACUACCAGAUGGACCUGCGUUGUAUUAGCUAGUUGGUGAGGUAACGGCUCACCAAGGCAACGAUACAUAGCCGACCUGAGAGGGUGAUCGGCCACACUGGGACUGAGACACGGCCCAGACUCCUACGGGAGGCAGCAGUAGGGAAUCUUCGGCAAUGGGGGGAACCCUGACCGAGCAACGCCGCGUGAGUGAAGAAGGUUUUCGGAUCGUAAAGCUCUGUUGUUAAGGAAGAACGUGUGUGAGAGUGGAAAGUUCACACAGUGACGGUACUUAACCAGAAAGGGACGGCUAACUACGUGCCAGCAGCCGCGGUAAUACGUAGGUCCCGAGCGUUGUCCGGAUUUAUUGGGCGUAAAGCGAGCGCAGGCGGUUAGAUAAGUCUGAAGUGAAAGGCAGUGGCUCAACCAUUGUAGGCUUUGGAAACUGUUUAACUUGAGUGCAGAAGGGGAGAGUGGAAUUCCAUGUGUAGCGGUGAAAUGCGUAGAUAUAUGGAGGAACACCAGUGGCGAAGGCG
rnacentral:rRNA from 1 species